rnacentral:rRNA from 1 species
AUUGAACGCUGGCGGCAUGCCUUACACAUGCAAGUCGAACGGUAACAGGUUAAGCUGACGAGUGGCGAACGGGUGAGUAAUGUAUCGGAACGUGCCCAGUCGUGGGGGAUAACUGCUCGAAAGAGCAGCUAAUACCGCAUACGACCGGAGGGUGAAAGCGGGGGAUCGCAAGACCACGCGCGAUUGGAGCGGCGGAUAUCAGAUUAGGUAGUUGGUGAGGUAAAGGCUCACCAAGCGGACGAUCUGUAGCUGGUCUGAGAGGACGACCAGCCACACUGGGACUGAGACACGGCCCAGACUCCUACGGGAGGCAGCAGUGGGGAAUUUUGGACAAUGGGCGCAAGCCUGAUCCAGCCAUGCCGCGUGCGGGAAGAAGGCCUUCGGGUUGUAAACCGCUUUUGUCAGGGAAGAAAAGGUUCUGGCUAAUACCUGGGACUCAUGACGGUACCUGAAGAAUAAGCACCGGCUAACUACGUGCCAGCCGCCGCGGUAAGAC